CGUGCCUCAUCUCGUCUCGCAAGCGUUGCUUCAGUUCACCUUUCUAUCUCUCCAAUAUCCAUUGUGCUUCUACUACCGCCGUCGGCGGCGCUGCCGCCGCCUCCGCCUCGUCGUCUCGGUUUCUGAUGCUGCCGCUCCGACGAAGGUCGCCGUGCCGCUGGUGCUUAGAUUCAUGGAGGGGAACAGCAGCCGCGCCACGCGGCAUGCCUCGCUGUGCCGCAUGGUGCCCGAGAGGCGGCCGCCCCAUGCUCUGCCUACACCGUCUCAUUGUCUUCAUCAACAGGAGGCAUCUCUGCCGGCCUCACCCCAUCACCAUCGCCUCACUUUCCCUACGAGAGUAACGGAUCCAAUAGCUUGAGCUCGGAUCGCUUCCAGGUGCUUGCGGCCGCCGCCCAGCAUGCGCUCGCUUGCUGACCUUGAACUCUAGCCGCAGCAGGUCAUCCAUGAGCUUCUACUCCUGGCGUCCAGGAGUGUGGUUACGAUUGCUUCUUCUAGACACACUACCAGGAAUCUGGCUUGAAUAUGCAGUCUCUCACAAUGGAAGAGAUCCUGUUAUGUUGUCUCGCAUAAUGGAAAAGAGAAGAAGAUUUUAUGUCAACUGGACUCUACAUGGAUGGAAAUGAAAACACCAGAACUAAUAUAAUACCAAGGCUCAAACCAGAGUUGGACGACCUCUUAUCUCUAAACAUUAGAAAUGCAGAGCAGUCCAUGAAAGGUUCCCUACGCUACUACCGCACCGCUUGAUAUACUGAACUUGAUUCCUCGGUGCAUAUAAAAUGAUACAACUAUAUUUACAUUGGAGUAGGCAAGUAAUGGGUUCUAGAAGAUGGACAAGAUCAAGGACUCCAACGGGCAAACUGGCGGCUCGAGGCUUUUCAUGGGCUGCUAGGCCCCAAAUCGAGGCUUUUCAUGGGCUGCCAGGCCACUGAGUUAAACCAUUUUGCAAAGCCUUUUAAGAUGGAGCUCAAUCUUUAACGAAUCAUCGUUUUAACUUUGACAAGUUCAGGGUCUAUGAGAUUGACUUGUCAAAAGUUCGGCGGGUCAUAACAGGUUUACCUGGACGAAGUGGCUUACUUAAAGAGGCAGGAUAACCCGGGGUUUUAG